CAAUACGUAAAGCCUAAGCGCUUGAGUGGGUUAUCACCAAGUCAGAGAGAUGGAUCAAACCCAAGCGGUAUAGGACGUCUACGUUCUUUACUCGUCCUCCAUUUACGUAAAGCCUAAGCGCUUGAGCGGGUUAUCACCAAGUCGGAGAGAUGGAUCAAACCCAAGCGGUAUAGGACGUCUACGUUCUUCACUCGUCCUCCACUUACGUAAAGCCUAAGCGCUUGAACGGGUUAUCACCAAGUCGGAGAGAUGGAUCAAACCCAAGCGGUAUAGGACGUCUACGUUCUUCACUCGUCCUCCAUUUACGUAAAGCCUAAGCGCUUGAGCGGGUUAUCACCAAGUAGGAGAGAUGGAUCAAACCCAAGCGGUAUAGGACGUCUACGUUCUUCACUCGUCCUCCACUUACGUAAAGCCUAAGCGCUUGAACGGGUUAUCACCAAGUCGGAGAGAUGGAUCAAACCCAAGCGGUAUAGGACGUCUACGUUCUUCACUCAUCCUCCACUUACGUAAAGCCUAAGCGCUUGAGCGGGUUAUCACCAAGUCGGAGAGAUGGAUCAAACCCAAGCGGUAUAGGACGUCUACGUUCUUCACUUGUCCUCCACUGACGUAAAGCCUAAGCGCUUGAAUGGGUUAUCACCAAGUCAGAGAGAUGGAUCAAACCCAAGCGGUAUAGGACGUCUACGUUCUUCACUCAUCCUCCACUUACGUAAAGCCUACGCGCUUGAGCGGGUUAUCACCAAGUCGGAGAGAUGGAUCAAACCCAAGCGGUAUAGGACGUCUACGUUCUUCACUUUCUUUUGAAGCACCUAAAAAAAAAAAAAGAGGACGACGCAAGCACAGCAAUAGUAUGCCAAUAUUGAGUUUGAUGUUGCAUGGUGGGAGUGCACCCAAAAUAGAAGAUAAAAAAAAAAGAAAAAAAAAAGAAAAAAAAAAUAGAUGAAGAAGGAGAAGAAGACGCCGGCACAAAGAAAGAAUAACAUGCCAAGGGUAGGUUCUUGUGGCUAGAAGAAAGAAGAAAAAUAAUAAAAAAAAUUGACAAGAACAUGAUGAAACAAAGAAUGGGUUCAAGCCUACCAACAAGCAACUCUCACCACUUUGGUUGUUGAGAAUUCGGAUGAUGCAAACUUCAAAGUCGUAGACCUUCUUGCCAACAAGAGGAGUUUUUCUGCUGUUCUAUUUGGUUGAUCUCAAUAUUCAUGAACACAGUGCAAUUUAAAGAAACCAAAGACCAUCAAAGCUCCUAGUAGGGUUUCUCAUUCCUAGUUUAGGAAAGUAUGAGAUUUUGUAUCUUGCUUCCCAAGAUCUUACCAACAUUGGAUAUUAUUAAGCUUAAUAAUAUCACAAAAAAAAAAAAAAAAAAAAAGGGGAAACCAACGUUGGAAAUAGGUUAGAUAUUCUC
rnacentral:lncRNA from 1 species